CUUGACAUGGCUGAAUAUUGUCCGCUUUGGGCCCUUCCGUACGAGGUCACCCUCACGGUUUUGUUCUUGGGGGAAAUGGGAAACUUCCCAGGAGGUCACCCAUCCUAGGAUUUCCAUUAAGCGAGCACGCUUAACCCUGGAGUUCUUCCAACUCUCCAGCCAUUUCACCACCAAAACGCGUCCAACCAUUCAAGGCAUCACCCCUCUUAUGUACUGUCUGAACACCCUGUGCGUAGCCGAUGUGGGAUUCGCCUAAGGUGUAGUGCCCCAAACCUGGG
rnacentral:lncRNA from 1 species